GCCAGGUGUGGUGGUGUGCACCUGUGGUCCCUGCUACUCAGGAGGCUGAGGUGGGAGGAUCGCUUGAGCCCCGGAGGCAGAGGGUGCAGUGAGCUGAGAUCAAGCCACUGCAUUCCAGCCUGGGCAACACAGUGAGAUCCCAUCUCAA
rnacentral:SRP_RNA from 1 species